GGGCCCGCACAAGUAGUGGAGCAUGUGGUUUAAUUCGAAGAUACGCGCAGAACCUUACCAACACUUGACAUGUUCGUCGCGACUUUAAGAGAUUAAAGUUUUCGGUUCGGCCGGACGAAACACAGGUGCUGCAUGGCUGUCGUCAGCUCGUGUCGUGAGAUGUUGGGUUAAGUCCCGCAACGAGCGCAACCCUCACUUUUAGUUGCCAUCAUUAAGUUGGGCACUCUGAAAGAACUGCCAGUGAUAAGCUGGAGGAAGGUGGGGAUGACGUCAAGUCCUCAUGGCCCUUACGUGUUGGGCUACACACGUGCUACAAUGGUAUCUACAACAGGAAGCAAAACCGCGAGGUUAAGCAAAUCCCUAAAAGAUACCUCAGUUCGGAUUGCACUCUGCAACUCGAGUGCAUGAAGCUGGAAUU
rnacentral:rRNA from 1 species